GGAGAGUUGGCUGAGUGGUCGAAAGCGCCUCACUGCUAACGAGGUAGGGCUUAACCGCCCUCGCGGGUUCGAAUCCCGCACUCUCCG
rnacentral:tRNA from 1 species